CCUACGGGAGGCAGCAGUGGGGAAUCUUGCGCAAUGGGGGAAACCUUGACGCAGCAACGCCGCGUGGGUGAUGAAGGCCUUCGGGUCGUAAAGCCCUGUCAGGUGGGAAGAAACAUGUCGGUGCUAAUAUCACCGAUGUUUGACGGUACCGCCGGAGGAAGCACCGGCUAACUCCGUGCCAGCAGCCGCGGUAAUACGGAGGGUGCAAGCGUUGUUCGGAAUUACUGGGCGUAAAGCGCGUGUAGGCGGUCGGGCAAGUCAGAUGUGAAAGCCUUCCGCUCAACGGAAGAAGUGCAUUUGAAACUACCCGGCUGGAGUACGGGAGAGGAGAGUGGAAUUCCCGGUGUAGAGGUGAAAUUCGUAGAUAUCGGGAGGAACACCAGUGGCGAAGGCGGCUCUCUGGUCCGAUACUGACGCUGAGACGCGAAAGCGUGGGGAGCAAACAGGAUUAGAUACCCUGGUAGUCCACGCCGUAAACGAUGGGCACUAGGUGUAGGAGGUAUUGACCCCUUCUGUGCCGAAGUUAACGCAUUAAGUGCCCCGCCUGGGGAGUACGGCCGCAAGGUUAAAACUCAAAGGAAUUGACGG
rnacentral:rRNA from 1 species